rnacentral:rRNA from 1 species
UGAGAGUGUGAUCCUGGCUCAGGAUGAACGCUGGCGGCGUGCUUAACACAUGCAAGUCGAACGGUGAACACGGAGCCUGCUCUGUGGGAUCAGUGGCGAACGGGUGAGUAACACGUGAGCAACCUGCCCCUGACUCUGGGAUAAGCGCUGGAAACGGCGUCUAAUACUGGAUAUGUGACGUGAUCGCAUGGUUUGCGUUUGAGAAAGUAUAUAUUCGGUGUGGGGAUGGGCUCGCGGCCUAUCAGCUUGUUGGUGAGGUAAUGGCUCACCAAGGCGUCGACGGGUAGCCGGCCUGAGAGGGUGACCGGCCACACUGGGACUGAGACACGGCCCAGACUCCUACGGGAGGCAGCAGUGGGGAAUAUUGCACAAUGGGCGCAAGCCUGAUGCAGCAACGCCGCGUGAGGGAUGACGGCCUUCGGGUUGUAAACCUCUUUUAGCAGGGAAGAAGCGAAAGUGACGGUACCUGCAGAAAAAGCGCCGGCUAACUACGUGCCAGCAGCCGCGGUAAUACGUAGGGCGCAAGCGUUAUCCGGAAUUAUUGGGCGUAAAGAGCUCGUAGGCGGUUUGUCGCGUCUGCUGUGAAAACCGGAGGCUCAACCUCGGGCCUGCAGUGGGUACGGGCAGACUUAGAGUGCGGUAGGGGAGAUUGGAAUUCCUGGUGUAGCGGUGGAAUGCGCAGAUAUCAGGAGGAACACCGAUGGCGAAGGCAGAUCUCUGGGCCGUAACUGACGCUGAGGAGCGAAAGGGUGGGGAGCAAACAGGCUUAGAUACCCUGGUAGUCCACCCCGUAAACGUUGGGAACUAGUUGUGGGGUCCAUUCCACGGAUUCCGUGACGCAGCUAACGCAUUAAGUUCCCCGCCUGGGGAGUACGGCCGCAAGGCUAAAACUCAAAGGAAUUGACGGGGACCCGCACACAGCGGCGGAGCAUGCGGAUUAAUUCGAUGCAACGCGAAGAACCUUACCAAGGCUUGACAUAUACGAGAACGGGCCAGAAAUGAUCAACUCUCUUGGACACUCGUAAACAGGUGGUGCAUGGUUGUCGUCAGCUCGUGUCGUGAGAUGUUGGGUUAAGUCCCGCAACGAGCGCAACCCUCGUUCUAUGUUGCCACGCACGUAAUGGUGGGAACUCAUGGGAUACUGCCGGGUCAACUG